CGGGAUGAUACGACAUAUGAUACGGAUUUUGCCAUGUAUUAUUCUCUAUGUAACAAAUAUGAUAUGGUAGAGUUCUAUUUUUUAAAAUAUGGUACAUGUACAAAAUGCAUUUUUCCCCGUGCGGUACAAAAGACGGACAAAAGAUACCAGAGGGACAGUCAAACUCAUUAAUCGAAAAUAAACUGACAACGUCAUGGCUAAAAAUUAAAAAGACAAACAGACAAACAGUAGUGCACAUGACACAACAUAGAAAACUAAAGAAAAACCAACACGAACCCAUACAAAAUAGUAUGUUUAGCAUUUGUAUACAUAUGGUACAAAAUAGUCAAUCUUUUAAAAGGUCCCAAAAUGAUAAAUGUAAAACAAUUCAAACAAGAAAACUAACUAUUUUAAAAUUUAUGUACAAAAAAUCAACGAAAAACAAGUAUGUAACACAGCAACAAACGACAAUCACUAAAUUACACAGCUGCAGGCUCCUGACUUGGGACAGGGACAUACAUACAGAAUGAGGCGGUGUUAUACUUGUUAGCGGGAUCCAAACAUUAUCAUAACCUGAACAACAUAAGAUUGAACUAUAAAAAUCAGUUGAAAAGGCUUUUAACUCAUCAGAUGGUUACAAAUACAAAAACACAGAGUGGACGUGGCC
rnacentral:lncRNA from 1 species